rnacentral:rRNA from 1 species
UACGUAGGGUGCAAGCGUUGUCCGGAAUUAUUGGGCGUAAAGAGCUCGUAGGCGGUCUGUCGCGUCUGCUGUGAAAUCCCGGGGCUCAACCUCGGGCCUGCAGUGGGUACGGGCAGACUGGAGUGCGGUAGGGGAGAAUGGAAUUCCUGGUGUAGCGGUGGAAUGCGCAGAUAUCAGGAGGAACACCGGUGGCGAAGGCGGGUCUCUGGGCCGAUACUGACGCUGAGGAGCGAAAGCGUGGGGAGCGAACAGG